AGUUUGAUUAUGGCUCAGAACGAACGCUGGCGGCAUGCCUCAUACAUGCAAGUCGAACGAGGUCUUCGGACCUAGUGGCGCACGGGUGAGUAACAUGUGGGAAUCUACCUGAAGGUUCGGAAUAACUGCGGGAAACUGUAGCUAAUACCGGAUGUGUCUGCAAAGAGAAAGAUUUAUCGCCUUCAGAUGAGCCCGCACUAGAUUAGCUAGUUGGUGAGGUAAUUGCUCCACCAAGGCUACGAUCUAUAGCUGAUUUGAGAGGAUGAUCAGCCACACUGGGACUGAGACACGGCCCAGACUCCUACGGGAGGCAGCAGUAGGGAAUAUUGGACAAUGGGGGAAACCCUGAUCCAGCAAUGCCGCGUGAGUGAAGAAGGCCUUCGGGUUGUAAAACUCUUUCAUCAAUGAUGAUAAUGACAUUAGUUGAAGAAGAAGCUCCGGCUAACUUCGUGCCAGCAGCCGCGGUAAUACGAAGGGGGCUAGCGUUGUUCGGAAUCACUGGGCGUAAAGCGUAUGUAGGCGGAUCAAAAAGUUAGAUGUGAAAUCCCUGGGCUCAACCCAGGAACUGCAUUUAAAACUAGUGAUCUAGAAUUUGGUAGGGGUUAGUAGAAUUUCCAGUGUAGAGGUGAAAUUCGUAGAUAUUGGAAAGAAUACCAGUGGCGAAGGCGACUAACUGGGCCAUUUUUGACGCUGAGAUACGAAAGCGUGGGUAGCAAACAGGAUUAGAUACCCUGGUAGUCCACGCAGUAAACGAUGAGUGCUAGUCGCUGGGACAAUAGUUUCAGUGUCGAAGCUAACGCAUUAAGCACUCCGCCUGGGAAGUACGGUCGCAAGAUUAAAACUCAAAUAAAUUGACGGGGGCCCGCACAAGCGGUGGAGCAUGUGGUUUAAUUCGAAGCAACGCGAAGAACCUUACCAGACCUUGACAUGGUAUGUUUGAAUUACAGAAUCGUAAUUCUUCAGUUCGGCUGGCAUACACACAGGUGCUGCAUGGCUGUCGUCAGCUCGUGUCGUGAGAUGUUGGGUUAAGUCCCGCAACGAGCGCAACCCUCAUUUUUAGUUGCCAUCAGGUUAUGCUGGGCACUCUAAAAAAACUGCCGGUGAUAAGCUGGAGGAAGGCGGGGAUGACGUCAAGUCCUCAUGGCCCUUACGGUCUGGGCUACACACGUGCUACAAUGGUGGUGACAGUGGGCAGCAAUACUGCAAAGUAAAGCUAAUCCCAAAAAACCAUCUCAGUUCGGAUUGGACUCUGCAACUCGAGUCCAUGAAGUUGGAAUCGCUAGUAAUCGUAGAUCAGCGUGCUACGGUGAAUACGUUCUCGGGCCUUGUACACACCGCCCGUCACGCCAUGGGAGUUGGUUUUACCUUAAGCCGGUGCGCUAACCGCAAGGAAGCAGCCGUCCACGGUAGGGUCAGCGACUGGGGCGAAGUCGUAACAAGGUAAC
rnacentral:rRNA from 1 species